GACGAACGCUGGCGGCGUGCUUAACACAUGCAAGUCGAACGGAAAGGCCUUUUCGGAGGUACUCGAGUGGCGAACGGGUGAGUAACACGUGGGUGAUCUGCCCUGCACUCUGGGAUAAGCCUGGGAAACUGGGUCUAAUACCGGAUAGGACCGCACUUUAGUGUGUGCGGUGGAAAGUUGUUUCGGUGUAGGAUGAGCCCGCGGCCUAUCAGCUUGUUGGUGGGGUAAUGGCCUACCAAGGCGGCGACGGGUAGCCGGACUGAGAGGUUGGUCGGCCACAUUGGGACUGAGAUACGGCCCAGACUCCUACGGGAGGCAGCAGUGGGGAAUAUUGCACAAUGGGCGCAAGCCUGAUGCAGCGACGCCGCGUGGGGGAUGACGGCCUUCGGGUUGUAAACUCCUUUCGCCAGGGACGAAGCGUUUUGUGACGGUACCUGGAGAAGAAGCACCGGCUAACUACGUG
rnacentral:rRNA from 1 species